rnacentral:rRNA from 1 species
GGAAUAUUGGUCAAUGGGCGAGAGCCUGAACCAGCCAAGUAGCGUGCAGGAUGACGGCCCUACGGGUUGUAAACUGCUUUUAUGCGGGGAUAAAGAGUCGCACGUGUGCGACGUUGCAGGUACCGCAUGAAUAAGGACCGGCUAAUUCCGUGCCAGCAGCCGCGGUAAUACGGAAGGUCCGGGCGUUAUCCGGAUUCAUUGGGUUUAAAGGGAGCGCAGGCGGGCUGUCAAGCCAGCCGUCAAAUGGCCCGGCUCAACCGGGUCUUGCGGUUGGAACUGGCGGUCUUGGGUGCACGAGAGGGAGGCGGAACUCGUGGUGUAGCGGUGAAAUGCAUAGAUAUCACGAAGAACCCCGAUUGCGAAGGCAGCCUCCUGGCGUGUUACCGACGCUCAUGCUCGAAGGCGCGGGUAUCAAACA